UACGGGGGGGGCAAGCGUUGUUCGGAAUUACUGGGCGUAAAGGGCUCGUAGGCGGCCAACUAAGUCGGACGUGAAAUCCCUCGGCUUAACCGGGGAACUGCUUCCGAUACUGGAUGGCUUGAGUGUGGGAGAGGGAUGCGGAAUUCCAGGUGUAGCGGUGAAAAUGCGUAGAUAUCUGGAGGAACACCGGUGGCGAAGGCGGCAUCCUGGACCAUUACUGACGCUGAGUGAGCGAAAGCCAGGGGAGCAAACGGG
rnacentral:rRNA from 1 species